AACGAACGCUGGCGGCAUGCCUAAUACAUGCAAGUCGAACGAGAUCUUCGGAUCUAGUGGCGCACGGGUGCGUAACGCGUGGGAAUCUGCCCUUGGGUUCGGAAUAACUUCUGGAAACGGAAGCUAAUACCGGAUGAUGACGUAAGUCCAAAGAUUUAUCGCCCAAGGAUGAGCCCGCGUAGGAUUAGCUAGUUGGGGGGGUAAAGGCCAACCAAGGCGACGAUCCUUAGCUGGUCUGAGAGGAUGAUCAGCCACACUGGGACUGAGACACGGCCCAGACUCCUACGGGAGGCAGCAGUAGGGAAUAUUGGACAAUGGGCGAAAGCCUGAUCCAGCAAUGCCGCGUGAGUGAUGAAGGCCUUAGGGUUGUAAAGCUCUUUUACCCGGGAUGAUAAUGACAGUACCGGGAGAAUAAGCUCCGGCUAACUCCGUGCCAGCAGCCGCCGUAAAAC
rnacentral:rRNA from 1 species